AGGCAUCCUGGGAAUUGAGAGCAAGGGGGGGAGACAGGAAACAAACCUCAUCAGCUUUUUGUCUUCAGUCUUUGAUGCUUGUUGUUUGGUCUAGAUGCUAACACACUGUAUUACUGAUGUACAUUUCCAUCGCUUUCAUUUAAUAAAUUCAACAAUAUAAUCAUGUCAUUUUCAACCCUUUGGAUUAAUCAUCUCAAGAGUUAUUGUCCUGUUUCAGCCACUGUUCGUGUGUUAAUGAGCCAAACUGUAUUUUGUAGUAACGUAAAGGUGCCACAAGAUGGCGAUAGCUACACAUGAAGCACCGUAUGGGAACCGAGCAAGUCACUGAACAUGUUCCUGCAAAUGUUUCACAAUAAAAGCUUUGUUAGGAAAUGAAGGGAGUCUGUUCACUGAAACGCUAGAGGGCUUUUAAUUUGAAACGGCUGCAGGAAGUGUUGAGUUUGUAUUAACAGCGUAAUGCAGUAACAAACAUUUAACAGGGCAAACGGGAGCAGAUGAGAAAACAAGGAGGUGGACAAAAUAACAGAAACACCUCUCAGUUCAACAGCAGCACAAACUGCAGCCUCCAAAGUGACCCGACAGAAACAGAAUCAUUGAGCAGAUCCGCCCUAUGCUGAUUGGACGAAUUACUUGACGUGGCUCUUCCUUGGGUGACAUCUUAUAAAUAAUACAACUGAGUUGUGAGUAUUUGAAAAGUGUUAAUUUAUUAUUGUUUUCUUUCGGCUUCUGUUUACAACUUCAAAUUAAACAAUUUUGAAAACUG